CUUUGGGUCCUCAAUAAAAGCUCAAGCAGAAUCCAUAUUUUUUCAGAUUCAAAGCAACUUUCAUUGCUUUAAAGAGGCGACUAAACGCUGGACAAAGACUUGCUGUGGCGUCUGCUUACCACAACACUGCAAAACAUCUCCAACAAUGAGCUGUCAUCGCUGUAAUUGCCAGGCUAUUGGGUCUGGAGGACAUCAGAUUGUCUAUGAUGAUGAUGAUGAUUAUGAACCCAGUAGGAUGCCUGUUGUACAGUACUCACAGAACCAAUCAAGGAUGUUAGCAAACUUCUUCAACGGUGAACAAGUUGAGCUUCCAGGACAUGGCGAGGUGACUCACUAUUACCCCAAUGGUUCUCGGAAAGUAGUAAUGAAGAAUGGCAAAUUUGUUUAUGCUGAAGUAAUCAAACGCUACUAAUACGAUCUGAAACACAUCACCCAGUUAUUCAGCAACUGCAAUGAUCUCAACGAUGAUUUAAAUGUUAAUUUGAAUUUCUUUACAUUCAUUUGUUAUCAAAAUUACUGUAAUUUUGUUUUACAUCUCAAAGAUCAGUCAUUUUUUCUCUAAACAAUCAUCAAAAUCAACUUCAUUUAAAGUACUUGUCGGGCUGUAUGCUGUUUGUACUCGUGUGUCAAUAGUCAGAGGUGAAAUUGAAUAAAUGAUGAUCAGAUUUAGUUGGAUUAUAUAAUAAAAGUUUAUAAACUCUUUUUCCCUCAAUGAAUGCAGUGUUUCACAUUGUGCUUUUCUCUCUUUAAUUUUUGCAUCCAAAGUCUUAUAAAAGUUUUCUUGGCAAAACUGUUUAUCAAAUCCAACUGAAAUUUAGAGACUUUAAUGAGCUUCUUUUAAUAAAUUGUUUGAUAAAUUCUCCAUGUAUCACAGAAAGAAACACCAACAUGAUUAAAAAAAAUUACCAGCAUGAUUCAAUAAUGACUUUUCUGUCUAUUUUUAGAUCUGUGUGAAAUCAGUGUUUUCUGCCUGUCAAAUUAUGCCUGCAAUGAUGUGCUUACUGUAAAGACCUGUGUUGACUGACAGAGACCUGAUUUUCAAGUCCGAAUAUGUAAUCUAGAAUGUAAUCAGUCAUGCAUUUUCACUUUUCACAUGUUUUACUGAUAGUGGGUAGUGAUAAUCAAUCUUAAACAGUGUGUACAUAAAGUGUGACUUUUUUUGUAAUGCAAUAUAUAUAGCUUAUUCCAUUUGUAUGCAUUUUAAUAAUUUAUC